AGGUAGUAAUAACUAAUAAAACCUAUAUAAAAUGGCGGCAUUUAUUACAUUAGAGGAAUAUGUUUAUAAAUCGAAUUCACACGUUAUUUUUCUCUUUUCAUUACAUCUUAUAUACCUCCGUUAAAAGAAUAACUUUAAAAUUCCUAUUCCUAUUAAUAUUAUAACAUAUUAGGUAAAGGUGUAGACUAUUUAAAAGAUUAAAUGUAUUACACUAAAAAAAAAUUAUACUUCAAUCAAAACUAAAAUUAAGAAUUUAAAAGUAAUAAUACAAUAGUAUUUUAAUAUGAAUAAGAAAAUAAAUGUGC
rnacentral:rRNA from 1 species